UCUGCAGGUCGAAUUUCUGGAUCAAUUUUCGGGUGGUCACCACGAACCACAAUCUUGGUCUGGUUAAGGAAGAGAACAUGGCGAAUGGCGUGCACGGGGACUCCCAAAAGUGCAAAUAAAUCAGUGAUGGGCUGAAUGGCAAAUUAAGGUUAAGAACUGGCCAUUUAGGAAAAUUUACUCAUCAUGUUGUCCCUCCUCCCCCUUCGCUUGCCGUCCCCCGCAGCCACCACGCUCCCAAGCGCCGCCUUGCUCCUCCUCCUCCCAGGUGUCACUAGGGUUCGUACCCUCCGCACCCCACCGCGAGCCAACAUGAGCGCCGCCGCCGCCUCCACUACGGACGCAGCGGCGUCCUCCGCCGGCGUGGAAGCGGGGAAGGAGGCCGAGGACGUGGUUGUCCAGUACGUGGUGCUACGGCGCGACCUGGUGGAGGCGUGGCCGCUGGGGAGCGUGGUGGCGCAGGGGUGCCACGCCGCCGUGGCGGCCUUGUGGGUGCACCGCGACCACCCGGACACCGCCGCCUACUGCGCGCCCGAGAACCUCGACCGCAUGCACAAGGUGACAUUGGAGGUGAAAGGCGAGACACAGCUGAAGAACCUAGCUGAGAAACUGGAAGCAGCUGGUGUCAGGCACAAGCUGUGGAUAGAGCAGCCCGAGAACACUCCGACUUGCAUAGCCACCGCACCCUGCCCAAAGUCACAGCUGUGAAUAUAAUUGGGUUGCAUAAAGUGAUCACUGAUCAGUCAGACACCUUCAGUCUUGGAUGAUUUUGGGCCAUUUUUAGCCAGCAUGAAUGCAUGAAGGCGAGCUUCCUACCCCGGAUCAGUCAGCUGCUUCAAGUGCUUGAUUAAUGUGUUAUCACUUUCCGAAAACCAGCUCCUUCACAGAAGUCAUGGGUGAGCUGUUGCCAUAGGCAGCGGUGUCUCUCCAGAGAGUAAAAGCUGAGGAAACAAAAGACAUGGCAUGAAUCGCCGUUAGGAGGUAAAUUCUGAAGAGUUGCAGUUCAUCAAACAAUUCUGUUACUAUUCCUUUUAAAACAAAUCUGUUAUGUAUUAUCAUGCCAGUGCUCUCCAUAGAAAUGACUGGGGUCACAAUAUUUAUAUUAGGAGGAAUAAAUUUCACAAAACCACUA